AGAAUGAAUUUUAAAUAAGAUUAAAAAAAUAAAAAGUGAAGUUUUGAUUUUUAGUGUUUCUUAUCCUAUGAGCCACUUAUAAGACUGUUUAGUCGAUUACUACACCAAAAAAGACUGUCAAAUUGUGAUUGCAAAUACACUAAAGCAUGCGCCUGGAUAAAAAGAGGACAAAGGAUGUCAUUUGUUCGAAGAGUCGUUUCUUUAAGAGGAGGAACAAGAAGUUUAAUUUAUAAAAAUUCUUUCAAAAUUAUCGAAAAUAUAUAUUUUAAAACGUUUA